rnacentral:rRNA from 1 species
CCGCACAAGCGGUGGAGCAUGUGGUUUAAUUCGACGCAACGCGAAGAACCUUACCUGGGUUUGACAUCCCAAGAAGUCCUUCGAAAGAAGGAUGUGCCCCUUGGGGAAUUUGGUGACAGGUGCUGCAUGGCUGUCGUCAGCUCGUGUCGUGAGAUGUUGGGUUAAGUCCCGCAACGAGCGCAACCCUUGUCCUUAGUUGCCAUCAGUUCGGCUGGGCACUCUAAGGAUACUGCCUCGGUCAACGGGGAGGAAGGUGGGGAUGACGUCAAGUCCUCAUGGCCUUUAUGCCCAGGGCUACACACGUGCUACAAUGGACUGUACAAAGGGCUGCGAACCCGCGAGGGGAAGCCAAUCCCAAAAAACAGUCCUCAGUUCGGAUUGGAGUCUGCAAUUCGACUCCAUGAAGCUGGAAUCGCUAGUAAUCGUGGAUCAGCAUGCCACGGUGAAUGCGUUCCCGGGCCUUGUACACACCGCCCGUCACACCACGAGAGUUGACUGUACCAGAAGUUGUUGGGCCAACCCUUUAUUGGGCGCAGC